rnacentral:rRNA from 1 species
UACGUAGGCAGCGAGCGUUGUUCGGUAUUACUGGGCGUAAAGAGUGUGUAGGCGGUGCUCCCAGUCUGUUGUGAAAUCUCCCGGCUUAACUGGGAGGGUGCAGCGGAAACUAGAGUGCUAGAGGGUGGGAGAGGUAAGCGGAAUUCCUGGUGUAGCGGUGAAAUGCGUAGAUAUCAGGAGGAACACCUGUGGUGUAGACAGCUUACUGGACCACUUCUGACGCUGAGACACGAAAGCGUGGGUAGCAAACAGG